GGCCAUCUGCAGCUUUGUGCCAGGGCACCUGCUUUGCAUGCAAAAGGUCCCAGGUUCAAAUCCUGGCAUCACCA